ACUUAAAGAAAACACCUCCUCUGUCCUAAGUGAGUGGCUUCAUAAACAGCAAGAAAUGGAUACUACAAAAUCACAUGGAUUCUCCCUAGCCAGCUUCCUUGUCCUCAUGUUCUUGGGAGAUCUCACAGAGGCCUGCAGCACAUGUCGGGAAAUAUCUCUCCGGGAUGCAUGUUGCACACAUGACUUCGUGAUGAGGGUCCAAUUUAUGAGUGUCAGGCGGGAUCCUGAGUUUCCUAUACAUCUAAAUAUGUUUAGUAUUCAGCCCAUCCAGGUAUUCAAAGGUCCAAUGUACUUAAGAAAUGCACGGGUUCUUUACAGCCCAGAAGAAGAGUAUUACUGUGGAUAUCAA